GAGUUUGAUCAUGGCUCAGGAUGAACGCUGACAGAAUGCUUAACACAUGCAAGUCAACUUGAACUUCGGUUUGGGUGGCGGACGGGUGAGUAACGCGUAAAGAACUUGCCUCACAGAUAGGGACAACAUUUGGAAACAAAUGCUAAUACCUGAUAUUAUGAUUUUAGGGCAUCCUAGAAUUAUGAAAGCUAUAUGCACUGUGAGAGAGCUUUGCGUCCCAUUAGCUAGUUGGAGAGGUAACGGCUCACCAAGGCGAUGAUGGGUAGCCGGCCUGAGAGGGUGAUCGGCCACAAGGGGACUGAGACACGGCCCUUACUCCUACGGGAGGCAGCAGUGGGGAAUAUUGGACAAUGGACCAAGAGUCUGAUCCAGCAAUUCUGUGUGCACGAUGAAGUUUUUCGGAAUGUAAAGUGCUUUCAGUUGGGAAGAAAAAAAUGACGGUACCAACAGAAGAAGUGACGGCUAAAUACGUGCCAGCAGCCGCGGUAAUACGUAUGUCACAAGCGUUAUCCGGAUUUAUUGGGCGUAAAGCGCGUCUAGGUGGCUAUGUAAGUCUGAUGUGAAAAUGCAGGGCUCAACUCUGUAUUGCGUUGGAAACUGUGUAACUAGAGUACUGGAGAGGUAAGCGGAACUACAAGUGUAGAGGUGAAAUUCGUAGAUAUUUGUAGGAAUGCCGAUGGGGAAGCCAGCUUACUGGACAGAUACUGACGCUGAAGCGCGAAAGCGUGGGUAGCAAACAGGAUUAGAUACCCUGGUAGUCCACGCCGUAAACGAUGAUUACUAGGUGUUGGGGGGUCGAACCUCAGCGCCCAAGCAAACGCGAUAAGUAAUCCGCCUGGGGGAGUACGUACGCAAAGUAUGAAAAUCAAAAGGAAAUUGACGGGGGACCGGCACAAGCGGUGGAGCAUGUGGUUUAAUUGAACGGCAAACGGCGAGGAAACCUUACCAAGCGUUUGACUUCUUAGGAAUGAGACAGAGAUGUUUCAGUGUCCCUUCGGGGAAAACUAAACAAGUGGUGCAAUGCUGUCGUCAGCUCGUGUCGUGAAGAUGUUGGGUUAGUCC
rnacentral:rRNA from 1 species